UACGGAGGGGGCUAGCGUUGUUCGGAAUUACUGGGCGUAAAGCGCGCGUAGGCGGGACUGCAAGUCGGGGGUGAAAGCCCGAGGCUCAACCUCGGAACUGCCUUCGAUACUGCGGGUCUCGAGUCCGGGAGAGGUGAGUGGAAUUCCUAGUGUAGAGGUGAAAUUCGCAGAUAUUCGCAAGAACACCAGUGGCGAAGGCGGCUCACUGGCCCGGUACUGACGCUGAGGUGCGAAAGCGUGGGGAGCAAACAGG
rnacentral:rRNA from 1 species